rnacentral:tRNA from 1 species
UCCUCGGUGGCUCACAUGGAUAGAGCGUCUGCCAUGUAAGCAGGAGAUCCCAGGUUCGAGUCCUGGUCGGGGAA